rnacentral:rRNA from 1 species
CCUACGGGAGGCAGCAGUGAGGAAUAUUGGUCAAUGGGCGGAAGCCUGAACCAGCCAAGUAGCGUGCGGGAUGAAGGCCCUACGGGUCGUAAACCGCUUUUGCACGGGGAUAACACCAUCCACUUGUGGAGGUCUGCAGGUACCGUGCGAAUAAGGGCCGGCUAAUUCCGUGCCAGCAGCCGCGGUAAUACGGAAGGCCCGAGCGUUAUCCGGAUUAAUUGGGCUUAAAGGGAGCGUAGGCGGGCGUUCAAGUCAGCUGUAAAAUCGCGCGGCUCAACCGCGCCCCGCAGUUGAAACUGGACGCCUUGAGUUCACAACAGGCAGGCUGAUUUCGUGGUGUAGCGGUUCAAUGCAUAGCUAUCACGAGGCACCCCGAUUGCGAAGGCAGCCUGCCGGGGUGCGACUGACGCUGAGGCUCGAAGGUGCGGGUAUCAAACCGGAUUAGAUACCCGAGUAGUC